rnacentral:rRNA from 1 species
ACUCCUACGGGAGGCAGCAGUGGGGAAUAUUGCACAAUGGGCGCAAGCCUGAUGCAGCCAUGCCGCGUGUGUGAAGAAGGCCUUGGGUUGUAAAGCACUUUCAGUCGUGAGGAAGGUAGUGUAGUUAAUAGCUGCAUUAUUUGACGUUAGCGACAGAAGAAGCACCGGCUAACUCCGUGCCAGCAGCCGCGGUAAUACGGAGGGUGCGAGCGUUAAUCGGAAUUACUGGGCGUAAAGCGCAUGCAGGUGGUUUGUUAAGUCAGAUGUGAAAGCCCGGGGCUCAACCUCGGAAUAGCAUUUGAAACUGGCAGACUAGAGUACUGUAGAGGGGGUUAGAAUUUCAGGUGUAGCGGUGAAAUGCGUAGAGAUCUGAAGGAAUACCGGUGGCGAAGGCGGCCCCUGGACAGAUACUGACACUCAGAUGCGAAAGCGUGGGAGCAAACAGGAUUA